rnacentral:rRNA from 1 species
AGAAUCAACGCUGGCGGCGUGCCUAACACAUGCAAGUCGAACGAGAAAGGGGUAGCAAUACCCUGAGUAAAGUGGCGCACGGGUUAGUAACACGUGACUAACCUACCCUUGAGUGGGGGAUAACUGAGGGAAACCUUAGCUAAUACCGCAUAAUACCCACGGGUCAAAGGAGCAAUUCGCUCGAGGAGGGGGUCGCGGCCGAUUAGUUAGUUGGCGGGGUAAUGGCCCACCAAGACGAUGAUCGGUAUCC